GCCCUCGUAGCACAAUGGAUAGUGCAAGACGCUUCUAUCGUCUAGGUUGUAGGUUCAAGUCCUGCCGAGGGCA
rfam:Candidatus Zambryskibacteria bacterium RIFCSPHIGHO2_01_FTLL_46_30 rifcsphigho2_01_scaffold_36579, whole genome shotgun sequence.